GAUAGGUCUGUGCUACCACUCACUGUGUGGGGGAAAGUAGAGACCGAAAAAAUGAAGAAGUGGCUACAAAAAAGAGGGGGGUUUGAAAGUGAUAAGGUAGUUGUUAUGAAAACUGAAUAUGGAGGCCUCGGAGAUGAUGCCAAAACAAUGACUCACUUUGCUGAAGAGUUAAGUUCAAUAAAAAAGGAUGUGGCAACUUUGGUGGCCACUGUUGCUCGUAUGGACGAAUCGCUCUCCAAGAUUAUGUCUGAGUUAUCAUCAAAAAAUGAAGAGAAAGAAAGAACAUUGCGCACUCCAUGCCCUCAUGAACUGGAAGUUAAACUGAAUAAGGAAGAUGAUAACAUGUUUAAUAUGGGGAGUGAUGGGGGACAAAAAGACCUUGGAAAUGCUAAACCUCCAAAAAGUAGGCCAAACAAAGAAGACGGAACUCCCAACGAGCAAGAUGACAAUGUGAAAGGAUUUGCAACUGUUGAUAAAACUUUGACUCCCUCUGUUGAAGUCAUCCGUGAGAGAAAACAUGCAAAACAACCUCAGAAUGAGGUAUGAUGAGUAUUGGUUGUAGCUUGUUUGUA
rnacentral:lncRNA from 1 species